GUGGGGAAUUUUGGACAAUGGGCGCAAGCCUGAUCCAGCAAUGCCGCGUGUGUGAAGAAGGCCUUCGGGUUGUAAAGCACUUUUGUCCGGAAAGAAAUCUCCUGGGUUAAUACCUCGGGGGGAUGACGGUACCGGAAGAAUAAGCACCGGCUAACUACGUGCCAGCAGCCGCGGUAAUACGUAGGGUGCGAGCGUUAAUCGGAAUUACUGGGCGUAAAGCGUGCGCAGGCGGCUAUGCAAGACAGAUGUGAAAUCCCCGGGCUCAACCUGGGAACUGCAGUUGUGACUGGAUGGCUAGGGUGCGUCAGAGGGAGGUGGAAUUCCGCGUGUAGCAGUGAAAUGCGUAGAGAUGCGGAGGAACACCGAUGGCGAAGGCAGCCUCCUGGGAUGACACUGACGCUCAUGCACGAAAGCGUGGGGAGCAAACAGGAUUAGAUACCCUGGUAGUCC
rnacentral:rRNA from 1 species